rnacentral:rRNA from 1 species
UACGAAGGGGGCUAGCGUUACUCGGAAUCAUUGGGCGUAAAGGGCGCGUAGGCGGCCUGGUAAGUUAGGCGUGAAAUUCCCGGGCUUAACCUGGGGACUGCGCUUGAUACUGCCGGGCUUGAGGGUGGAAGAGGGUCGUGGAAUUCCCAGUGUAGAGGUGAAAUUCGUAGAUAUUGGGAAGAACACCGGUGGCGAAGGCGGCGACCUGGUCCAUUACUGACGCUGAGGCGCGACAGCGUGGGGAGCAAACAGG